AUUGAACGCUGGCGGCAUGCUUUACACAUGCAAGUCGAACGGUAACGGGGAGCUUGCUCCGCUGACGAGUGGCGAACGGGUGAGUAAUGCGUCGGAACGUGCCGAGUAGUGGGGGAUAACGCAUCGAAAGGUGUGCUAAUACCGCAUACGUACUGAGGUAGAAAGUGGGGGACCUUCGGGCCUUACGCUAUUCGAGCGGCCGUCGUCUGAUUAGCUAGUUGGUGAGGUAAAGGCUCACCAAGGCGACGAUCAGUAGCGGGUCUGAGAGGAUGAUCCGCCACACUGGGACUGAGACACGGCCCAGACUCCUACGGGAGGCAGCAGUGGGGAAUUUUGGACAAUGGGCGCAAGCCUGAUCCAGCCAUGCCGCGUGUCUGAAGAAGGCCUUCGGGUUGUAAAGGACUUUUGUCCGGGAGCAAAUGCCUGGUGUUAAUAGCACUGGGAGCUGAGAGUACCGGAAGAAUAAGCACCGGCUAACUACGUGCCAGCAGCCGCCGUAAUAC
rnacentral:rRNA from 1 species